AGUGAACGCUGGUGGCAUGCUUAACACAUGCAAGUCGCGCGGUCAGCAAUGGCAGCGGCGGACGGGUGAGUAACGCGUAGGAAUGUAUCCAGAGGUGGGGGACAACCCCGGGAAACUGGGGCUAAUACCGCAUAUGUGCUGAGGCACAAAGCAGUACUGCGCCUUUGGAGCAGCCUGCGUCCGAUUAGGUAGUUGGUGGGGUAAUGGCCUACCAAGCCGACGAUCGGUAGCUGGUCUGAGAGGAUGAUCAGCCACACUGGGACUGAGAUACGGCCCAGACUCCUACGGGAGGCAGCAGUGGGAAUAUUGGACAAUGGGGGCAACCCUGAUCCAGCAAUGCCGCGUGAGUGAUGAAGGCCUUAGGGUUGUAAAGCUCUUUUGCCAGGAGAUGAUGACUGUACCUGGAGAAUAAGCCCCGGCUAACUUCGUGCCAGCAGCCGCGGUAAU
rnacentral:rRNA from 1 species